rnacentral:lncRNA from 1 species
GUUCAUACUAGUGUAAGUGUGUCCAGCUAAGCCUAAAAAAUACUUAAUAAAUAAAUAAUUUUCUUGUUGGUACAAUUUUAAUUUUUUUUUGCCGGAAAAUCCACUUGAACUUGGGCGAGUUUUAGGUUGACUCAACUAAGCCAAGUGGUUGCCCUCCUGCCCAGAUAUUGAUAGAAAGGAUUAUUACAUAGAGGGGGACGUGGACCUUACCUCCUAGUUGAACAAAUGAGGAGUUUAGAUCAGCUAAAUUACUAAAUUCAACAACGAAUUAAGUGAGCAGACUAACAAACCCUUUGUGUCCUUGGCGAUUAUUUACACUCUUAAAGUUGGAAGCCCCUUAUAUCUGGGCGCAAAAUUCUUUUGAUUUCACCAGUUAGCUCUUGAGGGUAUAGUAGCUUGAACUGCCUUUCUUUAUACUCAGUAUGAGCCACCAAUCAGUGACCCCAUUACUUUCUCUCCAAAAGGCAACAGCAUCGCUUUGAAACUAUCAUUCUUCCGCUAAUAUUGAAUUUCCUCCAACUGGUAUUGUACUCUGCACGGCCAUGUAGAUUGUUUGCAAAUUAAUUUAAUAGAGGCCUUGGAAAGAACCUCCAUACUUCCUUAGCAACAAUGCCAUAUAAUAGCACAUGUUCAACUAAUUCAUAUUUUGCCACCGGAACUUACAAGUUCUGCUAAUUUUCAUUAUAAUUUGCACCUCUUCUGUCUAAUGUCAAUAAGUCGUGCCAUGUUUUCCAUGUGAAAAAUGAGACCUUUAAAGUGAUAAAUUUC